GACGAACGCUGGCGGCGUGCCUAAUACAUGCAAGUCGAACGCAUUUUCUUUCACCGUAGCUUGCUACACCGAAAGAAAAUGAGUGGCGAACGGGUGAGUAACACGUGGGUAACCUGCCCAUCAGCGGGGGAUAACACUUGGAAACAGGUGCUAAUACCGCAUAAUUCCAUUUACUGCAUGGUAGAUGGAUGAAAGGCGCUUUUGCGUCACUGAUGGAUGGACCCGCGGUGCAUUAGCUAGUUGGUGGGGUAACGGCCUACCAAGGCUGCGAUGCAUAACCGGCCUUGGAGGGUGGUCGGCCCAAAUGGGACUGAGGAACGGGCCCGACUUCUACGGGAGGCAGCAGUAGGGAAUUUUUGGCAAUGGACGGAAGUCUGAACGAGCCAAGCCGGGGGAGGGAAGGAGGGUUUCGGAUUGGAAAAGUCUGUUGUUAGAAAAGGAAAAGGAGGAGGGUGGAAAGUUGAUCCCUUGACGGUAUCUAAACAGAAAGCCACGGCUAACUUCGUG
rnacentral:rRNA from 1 species